AAACCAAUUGGCAAAAAACCCUCCACAAAGUGUCAUAUCUAAGUAAAUGUUGGGGAUAGCCAGAAAGACGCAGAGCCAUGAUGUAUGCCAGUGCCUUCCCUUUCUUUUCCUUUCUUUAAUUCUCCAGUGAUCUUUAAUCGACUGGGUAAAGAGGACUGGGGAGAAUAUUUUCAUAAGCUACAAUGGGGAAAACUGCAGUUCCUAAGCACGGUGCUCGAGUGUAUGAAGUUUGGGGAAGGCUCGGUGCUAGAGGGAGCUAUCGAUCAGGAGAAAUGCCUCCCGCGACAGAUCCGCGCGCCGCCUGCACGCAUGCUCAAUACGCCGUGUCUUAAGCAGCGGGCUAAAUAGUAUGCCAAAAUAGGACGCCUCCACAGGGAGAAAAACGCGAGCCGCGGACCAGCUGUCAAUCACUGUGGAGAAGCGCUGGUGUGAAGAACAGCCUAAACUUGCAGCAUGGCCAAACUGAUUACUGGUGAGGCACGACUCAGGCACGAGCAUAGCAAUAUAUCACCCAGCGCACUGCUUACCCAUAAUACACUACUGUGUUCUGCUCUGCACGCUUGGCACUGUUGGAAUA